rnacentral:rRNA from 1 species
AUUGAACGCUGGCGGCAUGCCUUACACAUGCAAGUCGAACGCGAAAGGGGGCAACCUUGCGUAGAGUGGUGCACGGGUGAGAAAUACAUCGGAACAUACACAGUCGUGGGGGACAACCAGUCGAAAGACUGGCUAAUACCGCAUACGACCUACGGGUAAAAGCGGGGGACCGUAAGGCCUCGAGCUAGUGGAUUGGCCGAUGUCUGCUUAGCUAGUUGGUGAGGUAACGGCCCACAAAGGCGACGAUCAGUAGCUGUUCUGAGAGGAUGAUCAGCCACACUGGGACUGAGACACGGCCCAGACUCCUACGGGAGGAAGCAGUGGGGAAUUUUGGACAAUGGGGGCAACCCUGAUCCAGCAAUGCCGCGUGAGUGAAGAAGGCCUUCGGGUUGUAAAGCUCUUUCGGCCGGGACGAAAUCGCUCUGGUGAAUAUCCAGGGUGGAUGACGGUACCGGAAUAAGAAGCACCGGCUAACUACGUGCCAGCCGCCGCAGUAA